rnacentral:rRNA from 1 species
GCACGCAUGGUAGGAGAGCGUUCCGUAAGCCUGCGAAGGUGCCUUGUAAAGGGUGCUGGAGGUAUCGGAAGUGCGAAUGCUGACAUGAGUAGCGAUAAAGGGGGUGAAAGGCCCCCUCGCCGUAAGCCCAAGGUUUCCUACGCAACGUUCAUCGGCGUAGGGUGAGUCGGCCCCUAAGGCGAGGCAGAAAUGCGUAGCUGAUGGGAAGCAGGUCAAUAUUCCUGCACCAUUGUUAGAUGCGAUGGGGGGACGGAUCGCGGAAGGUUGUCCGGGUGUUGGAAGUCCCGGUCGCUGCAUUGGAGAAGGCGCUUAGGCAAAUCCGGGCGCGUAAUUCAAGGGUGUGGCGCGAGCUCCUUAGGGAGCGAAGCAAUUGGAAGUGGUUCCAAGAAAAGCCUCUAAGCUUCAGUCUAACGAUGACCGUACCGCAAACCGACACAGGUGGGCGAGAUGAGUAUUCUAAGGCGCUUGAGAGAACUCGGGAGAAGGAACUCGGCAAAUUGGUACCGUAACUUCGGGAUAAGGUACGCCCUUGUAGCUUGACCAGCCUGCGCUGGAAGGGUGAAGGGGUUGCAAUAAACUGGUGGCUGCGACUGUUUAAUAAAAACACAGCACUCUGCAAACACGAAAGUGGACGUAUAGGGUGUGACGCCUGCCCGGUGCCGGAAGAUUAAAUGAUGGGGUGCAAGCUCUUGAUUGAAGUCCCGGUAAACGGCGGCCGUAACUAUAACGGUCCUAAGGUAGCGAAAUUCCUUGUCGGGUAAGUUCCGACCUGCACGAAUGGCGUAACGAUGGCCACACUGUCUCCUCCCGAGACUCAGCGAAGUUGAAGUGUUUGUGAUGAUGCAAUCUACCCGCGGCUAGACGGAAAGACCCCAUGAACCUUUACUGUAGCUUUGCAUUGGACUUUGAACCGAUCUGUGUAGGAUAGGUGGGAGGCUAUGAAACCGGAACGCUAGUUUCGGUGGAGCCGUCCUUGAAAUACCACCCUGGUUUGUUUGAGGUUCUAACCUUGGCCCGUGAUCCGGGUCGGGGACAGUGCAUGGUAGGCAGUUUGACUGGGGCGGUCUCCUCCCAAAGCGUAACGGAGGAGUACGAAGGUACGCUAGGUACGGUCGGAAAUCGUGCUGAUAGUGCAAUGGCAUAAGCGUGCUUAACUGCGAGACCGACAAGUCGAGCAGGUGCGAAAGCAGGUCAUAGUGAUCCGGUGGUUCUGUAUGGAAGGGCCAUCGCUCAACGGAUAAAAGGUACUCUGGGGAUAACAGGCUGAUACCGCCCAAGAGUUCAUAUCGACGGCGGUGUUUGGCACCUCGAUGUCGGCUCAUCUCAUCCUGGGGCUGUAGCCGGUCCCAAGGGUAUGGCUGUUCGCCAUUUAAAGAGGUACGUGAGCUGGGUUUAAAACGUCGUGAGACAGUUUGGUCCCUAUCUGCCGUGGGCGUUGGAUAUUUGAAGGGGGCUGCUCCUAGUACGAGAGGACCGGAGUGGACGAACCUCUGGUGUACCGGUUGUCACGCCAGUGGCAUCGCCGGGUAGCUAUGUUCGGAAGAGAUAACCGCUGAAAGCAUCUAAGCGGGAAACUCGCCUUAAGAUGAGAUAUCCCUGGGGACUAGAUCCCCUUGAAGGGUCGUUCGAGACCAGGACGUUGAUAGGUCAGGUGUGUAAGCGCAGUAAUGCGUUCAGCUAACUGAUACUAAUUGCCCGUAAGGCUUGAUCCU